GUUCUCAUACGUGUUGCCUUGUGCCCUAGGGCGCGUGCUCCUUGGGACCGCCGGUGCUUCCAGGUGGCUGUAUCUGGCAUUGACCUUUUAUGGUUACUCUUUGAGUUCACGGGCCCCUUCGAGACUCUGAAGAAAGCCAGACAGCGGCCUGUGGCUCUCGAGCACCUGAAAUGUGGCCCAAAUUGAGAACUCCUUUGAGUGUCGAACUGACCUUGGAUUUCAAAGACUUAGCACCAAAAAGAGAAUGCCCGAACCUGCUCCCUCGGAUAAGGAGAAUCAACUGUAUCCAGUAACCCCAGUAACAAAGAUACGCUGUAUUGAAUGAAAUAAACAUCAAGAUCAUUUU